UUGUAAAUAGCAGCCGUUUCUCGCCGUGGGGAAGUCCGCUAGAGGUGAUAGAAAUGGCCCCUGCCCCCCUGUGCCCACUUCCUCCUUCCUCCCACAGGCCAUUGUGCGGGGUCUGACCCCGGGCGGCGGGGGUCCGGCCGGACGCGGCCCACACCCUCAGGGACCUCCGCGCUUCUCCGGGUCCCGGGGCGGGACGGGGAAGGAGCCGCGAGACGACGCAGGACCCCAGGAGGGAGAGGAGAGGUCCCACAGAAAGGUCGUUGAAUGUCAUCCUUCCCAGACUGAUGCUGGGCCCAAGGAGAGCCACCCCAUCCUCAAGACCUUAGGAGAGGCAACAAGAUAAACACGGACUGAUCCGAUGGGACGGACGGUUUGAGAAAGUGUGUGGCAAAGGAGGCAGGGAAAGCUGCUUGACUGCAUUCGGGAUUUACUGAGGCCUUGGAGAGGACUUACCGUUUCUGAAUCUAAAAUGAGGAUCAGAAUUAUAAACUGCUUGGAACAGGCCUGACACACCAUAGCGAUGAGCUGCGUGCCUUGCUACAUCCCUGUAAAACAUCAAACUGGAAUUAGAGGCCUUCCGGGAUCACGGAGAGGUCCUUUGUGCCCUGCUGGGUCAGCACAAGUUGCCAGCACCCCUCAGCCCACCCCCACCCUAGGCCCUGCUCCGGCCUGCCCCAUGAGCAGAGCCCAUGGAUUCCGUGCGUGCGU